rnacentral:rRNA from 1 species
GACAGAGGGGGCAAGCGUUGCUCGGAAUUACUGGGCGUAAAGGGCGCGUAGGCGGGAUGGCAAGUCGGUCGUGAAAUCCCUCGGCUCAACUGAGGAGCGUCGAUCGAAACUGCCGUUCUUGAGGGUUGCAGAGGAGACUGGAAUUCCCGGUGUAGCGGUGAAAUGUGUAGAGAUGCGGAGGAACACCGAUGGCGAAGGCAGCCCCCUGGGCCGACACUGACGCUCAGGCACGAAAGCGUGGGGAGCAAACAGG